UCGUCUGAGGCCGUCCUCGGGUGCGAAGCCGCUUUCGUCGAAGCUUCUUACGAGCGCUCUCGAGUUUCGGCUCGAGAGUUGCGGUGGUUGCGGAGGCGACGGUGGUUAGCUCUCGAAAGGCGCGUCGCUCUCGUUGAGUGCGUGUCGUCUAGGUGACUCUUACUGGGGGCGUCCGUCGCAAUGUAUCUUCUUAGAGGGAUCAGCGGCGUCUAGCCGCACGAGAAAGAGCAAUAACAGGUCUGUGA
rnacentral:rRNA from 1 species